CGGGAUGUGGCGCAGCUUGGUAGCGCACCUGCUUUGGGAGCAGGGGGCCGCAGGUUCAAAUCCUGUCAUCCCGA
rnacentral:tRNA from 5 species